GGCCCGUUGGUCAAGUGGUUAAGACACCGCCCUUUCACGGCGGUAUCAGGAGUUCGAAUCUCCUACGGGUCACCA
rnacentral:tRNA from 1 species